UACAGAGGGUGCUAGCGUUAAUCGGAUUUACUGGGCGUAAAGCGUGAGUAGGCGGUUUGUUAAGUCGGAUGUGAAAGCCCUGGGCUCAACCUAGGAAUCGCAUUCGAUACUGGCAGGCUAGAGUACGGUAGAGGGUGGCGGAAUUCCGGGUGUAGCGGUGAAAUGCGUAGAUAUCCGGAGGAACACCGAUGGCGAAGGCAACCACCUGGGCCUGUACUGACGCUGAGACACGAAAGCGUGGGGAGCAAACAGG
rnacentral:rRNA from 1 species